rnacentral:rRNA from 1 species
CCUACGGGGGGCAGCAGUGGGGAAUAUUGGACAAUGGGCGCAAGCCUGAUCCAGCAAUGCCGCGUGGGUGAAGACGGCCUGCGGGUUGUAAAGCCCUUUAGGUGGGGAAGAACGAUGCUUGGUGAAUAGCCGGGUGUUAUGACACUACCCACGGAAUAAGCACCGGCUAACUCCGUGCCAGCAGCCGCGGUAAUACGGAGGGUGCGAGCGUUAAUCGGAAUGACUGGGCGUAAAGGGUGCGCGGGUGGUAAAGCCCUGGGCUUAACCUGGGAAUGGCGGUUGAAACGGCGUAACUGGAGUGGGCUAGAGGAUCGUGGAAUUCCGGGUGUAGCGGUGAAAUGCGUAGAGAUCCGGAGGAACACCGAUGGCGAAGGCAGCGGUCUGGGGCCACACUGACGCUGAGGCACGAAAGCGUGGGGAGCAAACAGGAUUAGAUACCCGUGUAGUC